rnacentral:lncRNA from 1 species
CAGCGGCUCAGGGGGCUGAGACAGGAGGAUCGCGAGUUCAAAGCCAGCCUCAGCAAUGGUGAGGCGCUAAGCAACUCAGUGAGAUCCUGUCUCUAAAUAAAAUACAAAAUAGGGCUGGGGAUGUGACUCAGUGGCCAAGUGCCCCCUGCGUUCAACCCCUGGUACAAAAAAAAAAAAAAAGAUGUGAGGGGAUACCUGGGAGCAAAACGGCUAGUAAGGAAAGACUCUUAGAUGUCAAGCAUACAGAUUAAACCCUACCGGUUUCCCUGAGGUCUUAUCCUUCACUUUUCAGCUCUCGACUCAUUCAUGGGAAAGUAAACUGCGUGAUUCGAACCCCAGCUCUGCCCCCUAAUACUUGAAACAAGUUAGUUAACUGCUGGGUGCUUUAAUUUUGGUAUUGGUAAAAUGAGGAUGUAUUAUUCAAGCGGGGUGACUGUGGAAGCUAAAGUAGGAGGAUCGCAAAUUCGAGGCCAGCCUCAGCAAUUUAGAGCAGCCCUAAGUAACUUAGUGAGAC